rnacentral:rRNA from 1 species
AACGAACGCUGGCGGCGUGCUUAACACAUGCAAGUCGAGUGCGCGUGCCGUAGCAAUACGGCAUGGCGCACGGCGCACGGGUGCGUAACACGUGGGCAAUCUGCCCUUCGAUGGGGAAUAACUCCGGGAAACCGAAGCUAAUUCCGCAUAACAUUCCUUGGACUUCGGUUCGAGGACUCAAAGCCGUAAGGCGUCGAAGGAGGAGCCCGCGCACGAUUAGCUAGUUGGAGGGUAACGGCCUACCAAGGCUUUGAUCGUUAGCUGGUCUGAGAGGAUGGCCAGCCACACUGGAACUGAGACACGGUCCAGACCCCUACGGGA